rnacentral:misc_RNA from 1 species
UGGGGACCCAUCCAGUAAUCAG